rnacentral:rRNA from 1 species
GAAUAUUGCACAAUGGGGGAAACCCUGAUGCAGCGACGCCGCGUGAGUGAAGAAGNAUNNCGGUANGNAGAGCUCUAUCAGCANNNNNGAUAAUGACGGUACCUGACUAAGAAGCCCCGGCUAACUACGUGCCAGCAGCCGCGGUAAUACGUAGGGGGCAAGCGUUAUCCGGAUUUACUGGGUGUAAAGGGAGCGUAGGUGGUUCGGUAAGUCAGAUGUGAAAGCCCGGGGCUCAACCCCGGGACUGCAUUUGAAACUAUCGAACUAGAGUGUAGGAGAGGUAAGUGGAAUUCCUAGUGUAGCGGUGAAAUGCGUAGAUAUUAGGAGGAACACCAGUGGCGAAGGCGGCUUACUGGACUAUAACUGACACUGAGGCUCGAAAGCGUGGGGAGCAAACAGG